rnacentral:sRNA from 1 species
UUCGCCUGUCGUUUAUGAGGAUGAGCACCUCCGCAGGAGGUUCGAGCCUCGCGAAGCGAGACAACGUUGCUUUGGCAACGGCCCGCAGGGCGCGCAUCAACGAGGCAACGGCCCGCAGGGCGCGCAUCAACGAUGCGCGUAAUCCUCUCUCGCCGACCA